GACGAACGCUGGCGGCGUGCUUAACACAUGCAAGUCGAACGGAAAGGCCCUGCUUUUGUGGGGUGCUCGAGUGGCGAACGGGUGAGUAACACGUGAGUAACCUGCCCUUGACUUUGGGAUAACUUCAGGAAACUGGGGCUAAUACCGGAUAGGAGCUCCUGCUGCAUGGUGGGGGUUGGAAAGUUUCGGCGGUUGGGGAUGGACUCGCGGCUUAUCAGCUUGUUGGUGGGGUAGUGGCUUACCAAGGCUUUGACGGGUAGCCGGCCUGAGAGCGUGACCGGCCACAUUGGGACUGAGAUACGGCCCAGACUCCUACGGGAGGCAGCAGGGGGGAAUAUUGCACAAUGGGCGGGAGCCUGAGGCAGCGACGCCGCGUGCGGGAUGACGGCCUUCGGGGUGUAAACCGCUUUCGCCUGUGACGAAGCGUGAGUGACGGUAAUGGGUAAAGAAGCACCGGCUAACUAUGUG
rnacentral:rRNA from 1 species